rnacentral:rRNA from 1 species
GAUGAACGCUGGCGGCGUGCCUAAUACAUGCAAGUCGAGCGAACAGACGAGGAGCUUGCUCCUCUGACGUUAGCGGCGGACGGGUGAGUAACACGUGGAUAACCUACCUAUAAGACUGGGAUAACUUCGGGAAACCGGAGCUAAUACCGGAUAACAUGUUGAACCGCAUGGUUCAACAGUGAAAGACGGUCUUGCUGUCACUUAUAGAUGGAUCCGCGCCGCAUUAGCUAGUUGGUAAGGUAACGGCUUACCAAGGCAACGAUGCGUAGCCGACCUGAGAGGGUGAUCGGGCACACUGGAACUGAGACACGGUCCAGACUCCUACGGGAGGCAGCAGUAGGGAAUCUUCCGCAAUGGGCGAGAGCCUGACGGAGCAACGCCGCGUGAGUGAAGAAGGUCUUCGGAUCGUAAAGCUCUGUUAUUAGGGAAGAACAAAUGUGUAAGUAACUAUGCACGUCUUGACGGUACCUAAUCAGAAAGCCACGGCUAACUACGUG